rnacentral:rRNA from 1 species
UUCUACAGCCAUGCUACCCUGAACAAGCCCGAUCCCGUCUGAUCUCAGAAGCUAAACAGGGUCAGGCCUGGUUAGUACUUGGAUGGGAGACUACCUAGGAAUAAAUAAAUAAAUAAAUAAA